rnacentral:lncRNA from 1 species
AAAAAUUUAUCUAUAAAAUUAAAAUUAUUAUCUAAUUAAAGUAUUAAUUUAUUAGUUAUAAAUAAUGUCAAAAUAUAAUUAGCAUACUAUUUUUUAAAAUUAGUAUUAUUAUUUAAUUAGAAAAGGAAAUAUUUUAAUAAGAUAAUGAUAUGGAUGGGUACUCCUUCGUCUUAGUCUGACCGGUUGAUUGUCAGCUUUGAGAGGCCGAGGAGGAGAUGCAGUUUCUAGGGUCUGCAGAGUUUUGCCUUGUCAGACUUUGGUUCCAACAUAUUUUUCGUAAAUGAUUGUGCAUCUCUGUUUUAUUGAUUUAUGAUUUCCACUGAAGUUAGUUGCAAUAGUUUUGGCUCUGCGAGUCAUGGAAGAAACAGUAAUUGAGAUUUGAGAAAGAUGUGUUGUAAGGAUGAACGCCAAUCUCUCUAUUCAUGAUCAUAACAGGUAACAUAAACUCCAAAUGAAUUACCACUGAAGAUUUGUUCAGGUAUUAACUUCGGAUUUUGAAAAAGUGAUUUCCUCAACGGUUGCCCAGGCGGAGAAAUAGUCUGAGUUGUUCGGCCAUUCAUCUGGAAAGAUGUUAGCAAAAGGACCUUUAAGAGUAUAAGAGAGAAUUUAGUUAUGAAUGCAUUGUGUACUACAAUGAUCUUAGAACUAUGUCUUUGUAUCGGCUUUGAGAUCAUCCUUCUAAAAUUGGUUUUGUCUAAUAUUUUAUAUUAUUGGGAUACUCACAAAUCUUGAUAGGAAUUUUUCUAUUUUAGUUUUAGUAGGAUAUAAAUUUAAAAUACGAAUUUAGUUAAAUUCGGUUUACCCGUUUUAUGAUAUAUACG